rnacentral:rRNA from 1 species
GGAAUCUUCCACAAUGGACGAAAGUCUGAUGGAGCAACGCCGCGUGUAUGAAGAAGGUCUUCGGAUCGUAAAAUACUGUUGUCAGAGAAGAACACGUGAUAGAGUAACUACUAUGGCGCUGACGGUAUCUGACCAGCAAGUCACGGCUAACUACGUGCCAGCAGCCGCGGUAAUACGUAGGUGGCAAGCGUUAUCCGGAUUUAUUGGGCGUAAAGCGAGCGCAGGCGGUUUCUUAAGUCUGAUGUGAAAGCCUUCGGCUUAACCGAAGAAGUGCAUCGGAAACUGGGAAACUUGAGUGCAGAAGAGGACAGUGGAACCCCAUGUGUAGCGGUGAAAUGCGUAGAUAUAUGGAAGAACACCAGUGGCGAAGGCGGCUGUCUGGUCUGUAACUGACGCUGAGGCUCGAAAGCAUGGGUAGCGAACA